AUUGAACGCUGGCGGCAUGCCUAACACAUGCAAGUCGAACGGCAGCACUGCAGUAGCAAUACUGUGGGUGGCGAGUGGCGGACGGGUGAGGAAUACGUCGGAAUCUGCCCAGUCGUGGGGGAUAACUAGCCGAAAGGUUAGCUAAUACCGCAUACGACCGAGAGGUGAAAGCGGGGGACCGCAAGGCCUCGCGCGAUUGGAUGAGCCGACGUCGGAUUAGCUAGUUGGCGGGGUAAAGGCCCACCAAGGCGACGAUCCGUGGCUGGUCUGAGAGGAUGAUCAGCCACACUGGAACUGAGACACGGUCCAGACUCCUACGGGAGGCAGCAGUGGGGAAUAUUGGACAAUGGGCGCAAGCCUGAUCCAGCAAUGCCGCGUGUGUGAAGAAGGCCUCGGGUUGUAAGCACUUUAUCAGGAACGAAAGACGUUGGAUUAAUACUACUGACGUGCUGACGGUACCUG
rnacentral:rRNA from 1 species